UGCAACAAAGAUAGCUUUCAGAAGAAUGAGGACACUGGCCCAGCCUCUGGAGGACCGAGGAUACCCUUUUCAUUUUUAAUGAAGAGCUUCUAAUUGGCUAAACCUUGGCACUUCCUUAGAGCAGGUCAUGAUGUAAGUUGCAGACCACAGGCACGAGAGAAAACAACACAACGAAUUGACUGGGGCACAUCUCGGCUGGCACGCACUGGGCAGUCAUUAAAAAUGAAGGCGUGGGAGCCUGUUUAAUGACAUGGAAAGUUGUCUGCAGUGGUCAUGUGUAAAGACCGGGUUUGAAACAGCAUCGAACACUCCUAUUAAAAAAAAGAGUAGAUAUGUACAUGCAUCGGAAGAGAGUCUGGAAAUACACAAGCCAACGUGUUCACCUUUGGAUGGUGGGGUGAAGGGUGCUUUUAUUUCCUUCUUGCUUGCCAGUAUUUUCAAAUUCACUUUCCAAAGUGAAUUAGAACUGCAGUCUGACAGCAGAACAACAGCAGAGGUUAUUAAUAACAGAACCAUCCCCCGCCAGCCACAGCAGCAGCUCGUGGAUUCUAAGAAUGUCAGCUCAGCGUUCCAGGUUUCCAGAAUGCUCUCAGAUUUUCCAUUGAUCUGUCCAGGUGUAAGCAGAGAUCUUGGGAAGGCUGUAGGGCAGCAGCUCUGAGAAGGAACUCAGAGACUCAAAGGUUUUAAAGUCCUGCACCCAUGGAGAAUUGCUGACUAAAAGGGGUUGGAACAGAACUGGGUCCCUAGGUGUGGAGACCAUUGUCAUCAAGAGUAAGAAAAUGAAAUGGCUCUGUAUGUAGGUCAACGACCCCCUCUCUACUGAAAGAUGAGAAUACCAAGACACAGAGAAAUGAAAUAACUUG